rnacentral:rRNA from 1 species
GGCGUAAAGAGCUCGUAGGCGGUUUGUCGCGUCUGCUGUGAAAUCCGGAGGCUCAACCUCCGGCCUGCAGUGGGUACGGGCAGACUAGAGUGCGGUAGGGGAGAUUGGAAUUCCUGGUGUAGCGGUGGAAUGCGCAGAUAUCAGGAGGAACACCGAUGGCGAAGGCAGAUCUCUGGGCCGUAACUGACGCUGAGGAGCGAAAGGGUGGGGAGCAAACAGGCUUAGAUACCCUGGUAGUCCACCCCGUAAACGUUGGGAACUAGUUGUGGGGUCCAUUCCACGGAUUCCGUGACGCAGCUAACGCAUUAAGUUCCCCGCCUGGGGAGUACGGCCGCAAGGCUAAAACUCAAAGGAAUUGACGGGGACCCGCACAAGCGGCGGAGCAUGCGGAUUAAUUCGAUGCAACGCGAAGAACCUUACCAAGGCUUGACAUAUACGAGAACGGGCCAGAAAUGGUCAACUCUUUGGACACUCGUAAACAGGUGGUGCAUGGUUGUCGUCAGCUCGUGUCGUGAGAUGUUGGGUUAAGUCCCGCAACGAGCGCAACCCUCGUUCUAUGUUGCCAGCACGUAAUGGUGGGAACUCAUGGGAUACUGCCGGGGUCAACUCGGAGGAAGGUGGGGAUGACGUCAAAUCAUCAUGCCCCUUAUGUCUUGGGCUUCACGCAUGCUACAAUGGCCGGUACAAAGGGCUGCAAUACCGCGAGGUGGAGCGAAUCCCAAAAAGCCGGUCCCAGUUCGGAUUGAGGUCUGCAACUCGACCUCAUGAAGUCGGAGUCGCUAGUAAUCGCAGAUCAGCAACGCUGCGGUGAAUACGUUCCCGGGUCUUGUACACACCGCCCGUCACGUCAUGAAAGUCGGUAACACCUGAAGCCGGUGGCCUAACCCUUGUGGAGGGAGCC